rnacentral:rRNA from 1 species
CCCUUAGAUGUUCUGGGCCGCAUGCGCGCUACACUGACGACUUCAACGAGUUUUUUUCAUUUGAAAAAGUCCUUGGCCGGAAGGUCUGGGUAAUCUUUUAAAAGGUCGUCGUGAUGGGGCUAGAUUCUUGCAAUUAUUAAUCUCCAACGAGGAAUUCCUAGUAAACGCAAGUCAUCAACUUGCAUUGAUUACGUCCCUGCCCUUUGUACACACCGCCCGUCGCACCUACCGAUUGAACGUUCCGGUGAGACCUUGGGAUUUGGUCUUUGGUACUUUAUUGUGCCGUUGACCGAAAAACUUGAGCAAACCUUAACGUUUAGAGGAAGGUGAAGUCGUAACA